GUCCGCCUGGACGCCCAGGGGGGUCUUGUCAGCGGCCCCCCCACAGCUCCGGUUCUGGAACUACUUCCUCCGUUGAAUAAGGAGUGGAGGGACGGUCUUUAGUCCUAUAUGUGCCAGCAGACAGGCAAGGCAGUCCAAUAAGCCUAAACCCUUCCAGCCUUCACCUAUACCCCAGUCUUCAGGAUGACUGUUGUUCCAAGAAGACAGGAGUGGACUUGCUGGACAUAGUUCUGCUCCAGACUGGCACCAGUUGACUGGCACCACACGACUGGCCCCACUGUCCCUCAUCAACCAACUUAUCAUUUUGAAU